GUAGGGAAUAUUGCGCAAUGGACGAAAGUCUGACGCAGCGACGCCGCGUGAGUGAUGAAGGCCUUAGGGUCGUAAAGCUCUGUUGAAUGGGAAGAAAAAAAUGACGGUACCAUUCGAGGAAGGACCGGCUAACUUCGUGCCAGCAGCCGCGGUAAUACGAGGGGUCCUAGCGUUGUUCGGAAUCAGUGGGCGUAAAGGGUGUGUAGGUGGCCAUGUAAGUCAGGUGUGAAAGCCCCGGGCUCAACCCGGGAAGUUCACUUGAUACUGCGUGGCUUGAGUACCAAGGAGGGUAGGGGAAUUCCAGGUGUAGUGGUGAAAUACGUAGAUAUCUGGAGGAACACCGGUGGCGAAGGCGGCUACCUGGUCGAGUACUGACACUGAGACACGAAAGCGUGGGGAUCAAACAGGAUUAGAAACCCGAGUAGUCC
rnacentral:rRNA from 1 species